CCUACGGGAGGCAGCAGUAGGGAAUAUUGCUCAAUGGGGGAAACCCUGAUGCAGCGACGCCGCGUGAGUGAAGAAGUAUUUCGGUAUGUAAAGCUCUAUCAGCAGGGAAGAAAUAAAGUCCUUCGGACUUUGGACGGUACCUGACUAAGAAGCCCCGGCUAACUACGUGCCAGCAGCCGCGGUAAUACGUAGGGGGCAAGCGUUAUCCGGAUUUACUGGGUGUAAAGGGCGCGUAGACGGCCGCGCAAGUCUGGAGUGAAAUCCCAUGGCUUAACCAUGGAACUGCUUUGGAAACUGUGCAGCUGGAGUGCAGGAGAGGUAAGCGGAAUUCCUAGGGUAGCGGUGAAAUGCGUAGAUAUUAGGAGGAACACCAGUGGCGAAGGCGGCUUACUGGACUGUAACUGACGUUGAGGCUCGAAAGCGUGGGGAGCAAACAGGAUUAGAUACCCGAGUAGUC
rnacentral:rRNA from 1 species